ACCGCUCGCACGGGUGGAUGCUCCCGGCCCUGUGGGCUCGGCGUGAGCACGCUCCGUUCAUCGAACCCGAGCACCUCACGGAGGCGGGUAGACCGAGCCCGUGCGAGGGGUAUUGUCCCCCCGCUGUCGGCGAUAGUGAUUACCAGCCGGGGGUUUAAAAGAUUGUGGGCUCCUCAAUUGGCAGCUCGCUGCUCUCCUUGU
rnacentral:sRNA from 1 species